rnacentral:rRNA from 1 species
AGCUUGCUCCUGGGGUGACAAGCGGCGGACGGGGUGAGUAAUGUCUGGGGAAACUGCCUGAUGGAGGGGGAUAACUACUGGAAACGGUAGCUAAUACCGCAUAAUGUCUACGGACCAAAGUGGGGGACCUUCUGGCCUCAUGCCAUCAGAUGUGCCCAGAUGGGAUUAGCUAGUAGGUGGGGUAAUGGCUCACCUAGGCGACAAUCCCUAGCUGGUCUGAGAGGAUGACCAGCCACACUGGAACUGAGACACGGUCCACACUCCUACGGGAGGCAGCAGUGGGGAAUAUUGCACAAUGGGCGCAAGCCUGAUGCACCCAUGCCGCGUGUGUGAAAAAAGCCUUCUGGUUGUAAAGCACUUUCACCGAGGAGGAAGGGUUCAGUGUUAAUAGCACUGUUCAUUGACGUUACUCGCAGAAAAAACACCGGCUAACUCCGUGCCACCAGCCGCGGUAAUACGGAGGGUGCAAGCGUUAAUCUGAAUUACUGGGCGUAAAGCGCACGCAGGCGGUUUGUUAAAUCAGAUAUGAAAUCCCCGCGCUUAACGUGGGAACUGCAUUUGAAACUGGCAAGCUAUAGUCUUGUAGAGGGGGGUAGAAUUCCCCGUGUAGCGGUGAAAUGCGUAAAGAUCUGUAGGAAUACC